rnacentral:rRNA from 1 species
AUGAACGCUGGCGGCGUGCCUCAUACAUGCAAGUCGAGCGAACGGACGAGAAGCUUGCUUCUCUGAUGUUAGCGGCGGACGGGUGAGUAACACGUGGAUAACCUACCUAUAAGACUGGGAUAACUUCGGGAAACCGGAGCUAAUACCGGAUAAUAUUUUGAACCGCAUGGUUCAAAAGUGAAAGACGGUCUUGCUGUCACUUAUAGAUGGAUCCGCGCUGCAUUAGCUAGUUGGUAAGGUAACGGCUUACCAAGGCAACGAUGCAUAGCCGACCUGAGAGGGUGAUCGGCCACACUGGAACUGAGACACGGUCCAGACUCCUACGGGAGGCAGCAGUAGGGAAUCUUCCGCAAUGGGCGAAAGCCUGACGGAGCAACGCCGCGUGAGUGAUGAAGGUCUUCGGAUCGUAAAACUCUGUUAUUAGGGAAGAACAUAUGUGUAAGUAACUGUGCACAUCUUGACGGUACCUGAUCAGAAAGCCACGGCUAACUACGUG